rnacentral:rRNA from 1 species
UGGCGGCGAUAGCGCGGUGGUCCCACCUGACCCCAUGCCGAACUCAGAAGUGAAACGCCGUAGCGCCGAUGGUAGUGUGGGGUCUCCCCAUGCGAGAGUAGGGAACUGCCAGGC